CCUACGGGAGGCAGCAGUGAGGAAUAUUGGUCAAUGGACGAAAGUCUGAACCAGCCACGUCGCGUGAAGGAAGACUGCCCUAUGGGUUGUAAACUUCUUUUAUAUGGGAGUAAAAUGCUCCACGUGUGGGAUUUUGUAUGUACCAUAUGAAUAAGGAUCGGCUAACUCCGUGCCAGCAGCCGCGGUAAUACGGAGGAUCCGAGCGUUAUCCGGAUUUAGUGGGUUUAAAGGGAGCGUAGGUGGUUUGUUAAGUCAGUUGUGAAAGGUGGCGGCUCAACCGUACAAUUGCAGUUGAGACUGGCAGGCUGGAGUACAGUAGAGGUGGGCGGAAUUCGUGGUGUAGCGGUGAAAUGCUUAGAUAUCACGAAGAACUCCGAUUGCGAAGGCAGCUCACUGGACUGCAACUGACACUGAGGCUCGAAAGUGUGGGGAUCAAACAGGAUUAGAUACCCCUGUAGUC
rnacentral:rRNA from 1 species